rnacentral:rRNA from 1 species
UACGAGGGGUGCAAGCGUUGCUCGGAAUUAUUGGGCGUAAAGGGCAGGUAGGUGGUCUUAUUUGUCCGGGGUGAAAUCCUUGGGCUUAACUCAAGAAGUGCCCCGGGAACGGUGAGACUAGAGUACUGGAGAGGGUCGUGGAAUUCCCGGUGUAGCGGUGAAAUGCGUAGAGAUCGGGAGGAACACCAGAGGCGAAGGCGGCGACCUGGACAGUUACUGACACUCAACUACGAAAGCGUGGGGAGCAAACAGG